rnacentral:misc_RNA from 1 species
UACGUAGGGUGCGAGCGUUGUUCGGAAUCAUUGGGCGUAAAGCGCGCGUAGGCGGCCGUUUAAGUCUCACUGUGAAAGCCCGGGGCUCAACUCCGGGAGGCCAGGGGAUACUGGAUGGCUGGAGAGAGGUAGAGGCGAGCGGAAUUCCGGGUGUAGCGGUGGAAUGCGUAGAGAUCCGGAAGAACACCAGAGGCGAAGGCGGCUCGCUGGACCUGUUCUGACGCUGAGGCGCGAAAGCGUGGGGAGCGAACAGG